UACGGAGGGUGCGAGCGUUGUCCGGAAUCACUGGGCGUAAAGGGCGCGUAGGUGGGCGUCGCAAGUCAACGGUGAAAGCUCGACGCUCAACGUCGAGUCGGCCGUCGAGACUGCGAGGCUUGAGCACUGUAGAGGCAGAUGGAAUUCCGGGUGUAGCGGUGGAAUGCGUAGAGAUCCGGAAGAACACCGGUGGCGAAGGCGGUCUGCUGGGCAGU
rnacentral:rRNA from 1 species